AUGGGAAGAAAAAUUAUGGGAAGGGAUCACCUUGCUUUCUCCAACAGGAAUAAUCUAGGCAGUCGGCUAAUCACCACAACCCGCGAUUUUGAUGUCUCCAAAUCAUGUUGCCCAUCCGCAGAUGAUUCAAUUUAUAAAAUGAGACCUCUUUCUAUUCAUGACUCCAGAAGGCUCUUCCAUAAAAGAAUAUUUCCUGAUGAUAGAGGAUGUCCAAGUGAAUUUGAACAAGUGUCUAAAGACAUAUUGAAGAAAUGUGGUGGAGUACCACUAGCCAUCAUUACUAUUGCUAGUGCUUUGGCUAGUGGCCAGCAGGUGAAAUCAAAGCAUGAGUGGGAUAUUCUGCUCCAGUCUCUUGGCUCCGGACUAACAGAAGAUAACAGUUUGGUUGAGAUGCGAAGAAUACUAUCUUUCAGCUAUUAUAAUCUACCAUCUCAUCUGAAAACUUGUCUAUUGUACCUAUGUAUAUAUCCAGAAGAUAGCAAGAUUGAUAGAGAUAGACUGAUAUGGAAGUGGGUGGCUGAAGGAUUUGUCCACUGUGGAAACCAAGGGACUAGCCUGUUUUUGGUCGGAUUAAACUACUUCAACCAGCUCAUUAAUAGAAGUAUGAUCCAGGCAAUAUAUGAUGGUCUAGGCCAGGUACAUGCUUGCCGUGUACAUGACAUGGUUCUUGAUCUUAUCUGCAACUUGUCAUGUGAAGCAAAGUUUGUUAAUUUAUUGGAUGGUACUGGGGAUAGCAUGUCUUUUCAAGGCAAUGUUCGUCGUUUGUCCCUUCAGAAUAAAAAUGAAGAUCAUCACGGCACACCUCUCAGAAAUUUCAUGGGUAUUUCACGAGUGAGGUCCAUUACUAUCUUUACAUCUGCUAUUAAUAUCAUGCCAGCCCUGUCAAGGUUUGAAGUUCUGCGUGUACUUGAUUUGUCUGACUGUAAUCUGGGAAAAAGUAGCAGCCUGCAACAUAACCUCAAGGGUGUUGGACACCUAAUUCACCUGAGGUACCUUGGUCUAGCAGAUACUGGAAUCAGGAAACUCUCGGCUGAGAUAGGAAACCUGCAGUUUUUGGAGAAUCUGACAUCCAUUGAAGUGUUGAGGGGGGUCUUGGUCUCUCUGAACAUUAUUGCACAGGAGCUUGGCAACCUGGCAAGGCUAAGGAAGCUUUGGAUUCGCUUCAAGGAUGGUAGUUUGGAUUUGUAUGAAGGUUUCGUGAAGUCUCUGUGCAACCUACAUCAUAUCGAAAGCCUAAGUAUUAGUUGCAAUUACAAAGAAACAUCCUUUGAACUGAUGGAUCUCUUGGGAGAAUGUUGGGUGCCUCCUGUACAUCUUCGUGAAUUGGUGUCGUGCAUGCCCACCCAACUCUCUGCACUGCGAGGGUGGAUAAAGAGAGACACCUCGUGUCUCUCGAACCUCUCCGAGUUAUUCCUCUGGCGAGUGAAGGAAGUGCAUCAGGAGGACAUGGAAAUCAUUGGGGGGUUGUUGUCCCUUCGCCGUCUCUGGAUAAGGAGCACCCACCAAACACAGCGGCUGCUAGUCAUCCGUGCUGAUGGGUUCCACUGUAUGGUAGACUUUGAGUUGAAUUGUGGAUCAGCAGCGCAAAUCAUGUUUGAACCAGGGGCUUUGCCGAACGCAGAAGCAGUUGAGUUCAGCCUGGGCGUGCGGGUGGCGAAAGAGGAUGGUAACUGUGGUUUCGACCUGGGCCUGCAGGGGAACCUGCUCUCCCUUCGGAAGCAUGACAGGGUUAUUUUUUAUUGUGGUGGAGCGAGGGUUGGGGAGGCCAAGCAAGCAGAGGCUGCGGUGAGGCACGCACUCGAUGCCCAUCCCAACCAUCCGUGGAUUUCAAUUGGCAUGAACCUGGAUAUAGCAGAAGUGAUGAGGACAACUGAUUUCUACGCAGAGAGACUCACACUGCAUCAGGUUCAG
rnacentral:rRNA from 1 species